rnacentral:rRNA from 1 species
UACGUAGGGUGCAAGCGUUGUCCGGAAUUAUUGGGCGUAAAGAGCUCGUAGGCGGUUCGUCGCGUCGGCUGUGAAAACCCGGAGCUCAACUCCGGGCCUGCAGUCGAUACGGGCGGACUUGAGUGUUGCAGGGGAGACUGGAAUUCCUGGUGUAGCGGUGAAAUGCGCAGAUAUCAAGAGGAACACCUGAGGUGAAGACGGGUUGCUGGGCUGACACUGACGCUGAGGCGCGAAAGCCAGGGGAGCAAACGGG